rnacentral:lncRNA from 1 species
CUAUGAAAGGAGGAGAAGAAACCUCCAUGAAAGGAGGGAUUGGAAAAUACAAUCCAAUGAUUUAAGAGGUAUACAAAGUCUUGUAUUUAUAGAGAAAAUGGCUAGAAUAAUUAACUAACUAAUUGGUUAAUUAACAAACUAAUCACCUAACUAACUAACGGCCGAACAACUAUAGCUGGGGAUGACCGUUCUGGUAAGAUGGAAUCUGGAGUAGCUGGAAGAUUUUGGACUCUGCUGGAAUCGGAAGUAAUCUUCUGUUCACGUAUUCUAACACAACCCCCUCAAGAUGGACCUAGAAGAUCCAUCUUGAAGAUUAAAGUGAUGAAACAUCAACCAUGAAUAAGUAACAACAACAACAACCUUAAGAUUUCUAGCAACAUUGAAGGGCACUACGGUAGUAGAGUGAAUGAUGUAGAAGAUAGAAAAGUUCAAGCUCUUCAAUGGCUUUUAACUAAGUGAUGAUUUUCAAUCUGAUAGCGUCGAUUGUUCCGUGGUUCAUCAGCCAUUCUAGAACAUCCUCUGGGGUUAUCACGGAUGGUUCCUUUACUAACAGGAUAUUAACUCCCCGUCUUCCAAUAACAUGGCCCAUUUUGCCUGGGGAACAUCAAGAACUGAGAUCUGUGAUAGAAGUGAUGAGAAUUCCUCCAAUAAUGGGAACAAGAGAAGCCAAAUUUUCCACUCAAAGUAUUUUCUCCAGACUAGCCAAUUCCCAAAAGACUAUGUCAACACCAAAUACAAAGGACAUGGGAAAAAUCCUUCCUCCAGCGAUCUUCAAGAGCAGCUGGAAUGAGUGGUUUAAGCUUCACCACUUUGAUUACCAAGUAUGCAUCAAUUGCUGAACACAUAAAGUGUAUGCAUAACACUGACAACGGAUUAGCAUUAGCUAAUUUUUGCUGGGGACCUUGAGGAUGGCCAGCCUUUAUUGAAUGCUGAAAAGACAUUUAUAUUCCAGUAGAAUGCUGGAAAAAAAAAAAUAAAAGCAGAGCAGGAAGCAAUCACUAAUCUGAAACCUUGCUAAAUUCUUGAAUGAGAAACAAUGUAUUAAACUCCAUAAAUGGAGAAUAACAAGAUACAAUGGAACCGGAAUAAGUUUCAUGAAAGAAACACUCCAUGAUAGGAGAAAAAU